GAAAAGUAAGGAAUGCUUUAUUUUUUUUCAAAAUUUCUAUUAUAAAAGACACACUGAUGGUAAUCUCUCUCAAAAGCCUCCCCUUCACUUCAAACAUGUUUAUCCAGUCAUUCUUGCCACCUUCUGAAGCUGCUCUGGAAGGCCUCUUUCCUGAGUAUGUUCAGUUGUGCUACCCUGGCUGCCUUAAUGUGCUGAAUUUAUUCAAAACAUUUACUAGUCAUGGUUACUUUGACUUUGAAGAAGAGCCCAAAGUCACAAGGUGCAAAAUCUGGUAAAUAUGGUGAAUGAAGACAUACCACAAUGUUCUUAUGAGCUUAUUUCUCUUUUGCAUGACACUCAGUAGAAAUAUUUACAGUAUUUUUGAUUAUGCCUCCAGGAAAGAAACUUCCAGAAUAGCUUCAGAAAACAGCAAGAAUGAUGCACAAGUAUGAUGGAAAUAAGGAAGAAUAUUUUGAGGGUAAUCAAUAGCAAAAAUGUUUUCCAGAUGUUACAAGUGUUUCCAUGGGCCAUUUGCUUAGAGGCACAGCAAGGGUGCAGAUUCAUAGAAUAAUUUUCCCUGUACGUGAACCUCUUCACUCCGUCCAGAGACCUCAAGCACCCACUGCACAGGCAGUCCUUGGAUACAGCAGAGCUGAGAUGCUUUUUCCUGUAGAGAUGGAAUAUUCACUCUUCUGAAAGUUCUUCCAGAGGGAAAACAACUCCCUUUUCUUAAAAAAAAAAAAUCCCUAUAUCCUGCAUAAGUUAAAAAAUGGAUACAUGCAAUAGUCCAGAAUGUAUUUACAUUUGGAUACUUUAAUAUUUUUAUUUUCAAACAAUAAAGCCAUUUCGAUUCCUUAGAAAUGUUUUUAA